rnacentral:lncRNA from 1 species
GUUUCUCCAAUCUGAGUGUGUCAAAGUUCCCAAAGAGCCUCAAUGGGACUCCAGGCAAUGCUCACGCCCAAAUUGUUUCACCUGAAUAGGGACAGGUGCGGUAUGGAAGGGCCAGCCCUCAAGUGUCCAAGUUCAGAGGGAGCUCAAUGGGUCCCAAGGAAAGGCUUAUUGGAAGGGAACACAACUUAAAAACUAAGAGAGAGUGCAAGUGAAGAACAGAGUUUUAAAGAACUCAGAAAGUAAAAAAAGAAGGGGAAGAGGUGCUGGGAAUAGUCAUAAACAAGUCAUACAAAGGGUUCUGGGAUUGAGGAAAUUGUCAAAUAGCCUAUGUACUUAGGCAUUAGCUAAUCGUGGGCAUACACAACAAUAGAGAGUGCUAUUGUGCUUACAAAAUCAAUAAGAAUACACAACACAUGAUGGUGACAUAGAGGUUAUGAUUCCAGGUAAAUCAAGCUUGAGCCAUAGACAAUAAUAUGUAAUAUUAUCAUGCCUCAAAAAAAUUAUUAGCAUCCAGACACAUUGGGGUAGGGGUUUUGGAGUUCAUAGCAAGAGAAAGUUAUAGCAUGCUAGAGUAAACGCUGAACUGAUCACAAACAGUAAGCAGACAUGCAAGUAAAGGUACUAAAUAAAUACAUUUUUGAUGAUUGCUGAAAAUCUUAAACAGGACAUACCAGUUUCAAAGAGGCAAAGUACAGUAAAAGCAGUAGCAGGACUUAAAAACAAGCCACAAUACAAGUAACAAGAUAGAAUGCUUUUUGAAUAUAAGUGUGAGUUCAGGAAACUAAGGGCGUUCGUUUUUUAUCAAUGCAAAAGCCAGGUAUUUAUAGUGUGAAAACAGGCAAAAACUAAGGCAGGAAAAUAACUAUGGAACUGUGUACCAAUUAAAAUCAAUCAGUAUGAAUACCUCCUUUAAUUAAGGAGUUUAAACUCAAACGAUAAAGGCCAGAGAACUUUUAAGGAAGGAGAUCGAGUAAGAAUCUUGUGCAAAGUAGGUAAUUAGGGGUAAAUACAUAGGGGUUUAAUUAAGGGAAGAAUUGAUGAAGAAUAUUUGAAAUACACGGUUGACCAAGUAAUGCAAGAAACACAAUAAAUCAAUCAGCACAUAGUAAAUCAAGGAUUCAAGGAUCCGAAGUUACGAAUCAACCAAGUCAGAAAUAGGAUAAUCGAAAGGCUAAGGAAAGUUUUUCAAAUCAACCUUAAAAACAAGGAAAUUAGUAAGACAAGGAAAGAAUCAAUUAGACUUGCACAAGGAGGUCUGAAAUCAGUCCACCACUAAAGGUUGUUAUGAGAGGGAAAUUUAGCAUAUAUAAAGAGUGUACGACCAUUAGGCAUGUGCGGUUAAACCAUGUCAAAGAGAGGCAUGAAUAAUAAUUAUAAAGUCUGUAGAUAGUGACAUAUAGUACUCACAUAAGCCGACUUAAUAAUAGGGAGAAGAGGGUAUAAGAAGCAUGCAAAAGAGUCCAUUAAAGACCUUUUCCAAAAUUAUAGUUGAGUUCUACUGAUAACAGGUAAUCAAAACCACAAAAGGCAAAGAUUUCGAUACUCAAUUGAGUAAUAGAUGAAACAACUUCAGAAACCCACACAGGUCUAAAGAAAUUAGGGCUUUGAAACCAAACAAGUUCAAAGAUGAGAAACAAACUAAUCACAUAGCAAAUAGUCUCAAUACUCGAAUGAAUCCCAAAAAUCUAGGGUUUUCCCCCAUCAAUCGAGUAUAGAGAUGAAAACAAGUAAAUCAGGCAGAAAUAUAAACAAAGAAAAUAAAAUCAGAAACCGUAAAAAAGAACUAAGGCUUUUAACAUAAAAAAGCAGUAGAAGAAGAUCAUAAGAAACACAGUAGAAGAAUCAACAUAAAAACACAGUAGAAAAACAACAUAAGAAACACAGUAGAACAUGUUAAAAAUCAAAAAAACUUUGAAAUGACUUAACAAAACCCUAAACUGGAAAAAGGUAAAGAUUGUGCAGGUAAAGUUUUGAAAGAAACUUUGAGGAGACGCUUAAGAGCUUAGAGAAAAUCACAGAUCUACAACGGAUCUAAAAGAAUCAGAAGAACCUCGAAGGUUAGGAUUUCAGAAGAACCCAGGUGGUGAGAAACGCUUGGAAAGUAAUUGAUCUGAGCUGGAGAAGCCAAGACCGGGCUUGAAAAACCAUGGGUGGCCGGAGCAAGGUCGGAGACAGCCAUAGAACUCGAUUGAAAUAAAGUAUGGGCCAAGAUUCUUCAAGGUCUGACCUUGAAACCAUAGAAACUAGGCAUGUAGGAGUCGUAGGAAGCAAGUACAUGCUCUUAAUGGCUUUGGAAGCCAUGGAUUCAUGCGACUUUAGGGUGGAGGUUGAAGGAGGCGAUUAGGGUUUUUGUUGGAGCUUGAAAGAAAAUUUGUGAGAAGGGGGAAUUCAAG